rnacentral:rRNA from 1 species
UACGUAGGGGGCGAGCGUUAUCCGGAAUUAUUGGGCGUAAAGCGCGCGCAGGCGGUUCUACAAGUCAGUGGUGAAAGCCCGGAGCUCAACUCCGGAACUGCCAUUGAAACUGCAGAACUUGAGGAUGAGAGAGGUGAGUGGAAUUCCCAGUGUAGAGGUGAAAUUCGUAGAUAUUGGGAAGAACACCGGUGGCGAAGGCGGCUCACUGGCUCAUUUCUGACGCUCAGGCGCGACAGCGUGGGGAUCAAACAGG